rnacentral:rRNA from 1 species
AUGAAUUUUUUAGCCUAGAACUGUCGGGGAUUGGGGUUGGACCCGACGGUGGGCGAGUUGAGAGACCUGAUACGGUCCUACAACCCAGCGGUGGUGUUUUUAAGCGAUACAAAAAAGAUGGCGGCUGCAAUGGAGAGAAUUAAAUGGAGUCUGGGCUUCACUAAUGGGGUGGCAGUGGAUUGUGUGGGUAGGAGUGGAGGAUUAGCGCUAUGGUGGAAAGACCAUGUUAAUGUGACAAUUAGGCCCUGGUGCCAGUACUAUAUUGAUGCUGAGAUCACUAGUGAGGGGAAAACCUUUAGGUUCACUAGAAUCUAUGGGGAGCCCCGGACAGAGCAACGUACAAAAACUUGGGAUGCUUUACGCUAUUUGAGGAGACAAAAUAAUUUACCGUGGCUCUGUGUGGGGGAUUUUAAUGAGAUACUAUUCCAAACCGAGCAAUGA